rnacentral:tRNA from 1 species
CACCCGUAGCUCAGCUGGAUAGAGCGUGAAGGGCACCCUGAAAGGGUGUCCGACCUUGCCCUCCGAAGGCAAAGGUCACACGUUCGAAUCGUGUCGGGUGCGCCA